AUUGAACGCUGGCGGCAUGCUUUACACAUGCAAGUCGAACGGUAACAGGCCUUCGGGUGCUGACGAGUGGCGAACGGGUGAGUAAUGCAUCGGAACGUACCCAGAGGUGGGGGAUAAUGCAGCGAAAGCUGUGCUAAUACCGCAUGUGAUCUGAGGAUGAAAGCGGGGGACCGAGCAGCAAUGUUUGGCCUCGCGCCUUUGGAGCGGCCGAUGUCGGAUUAGCUAGUUGGUGGGGUAAAGGCCUACCAAGGCGACGAUCCGUAGCUGGUCUGAGAGGACGACCAGCCACACUGGGACUGAGACACGGCCCAGACUCCUACGGGAGGCAGCAGUGGGGAAUUUUGGACAAUGGGCGCAAGCCUGAUCCAGCAAUGCCGCGUGCGGGAAGAAGGCCUUCGGGUUGUAAACCGCUUUUGGCAGGAACGAAACGGUGUCCGCUAAUACCGGGCGCUAAUGACGGUACCUGCAGAAUAAGCACCGGCUAACUACGUG
rnacentral:rRNA from 1 species